ensembl:lncRNA
AGGCGGAGCACUACUCGUUCACCCCAGGCCGGUGGUGGCUGGUCCCCUACAAGAAGGUGAGGCGCCUGAGGUCCCUCCGCCCCCUCUGGACAUCGAGGGGUCCCAGGCAUACACAGUACGUGCCAUUCUGGACUCGAGACGCCGGGUGAGGGGCCUAUAGUACCUCGUGGACUGUGAAGGGUACAGUCCGGAGGAGAGGUGCUGGGUAGCGGUGGGGGACAUUUUGGACCCCUUCACUCCUGAGGGACUUCCACCGCCUCCACUUGAAUUGAAGCAAAACCCGGAGGACACUGGGCCAAUUGUGCACCACCCUAUAGGACAAUUAUGGCCGGUUGUGAUACAGCCUGGAAUCGGACCAGGGUCUGUAGUGAC